rfam:Toxocara canis scaffold503, whole genome shotgun sequence.
GCGGCAGUAGCUUAGUGGUAGAGGCCCAGCUUCGCAGGCGGGGAGACCUGGGUUCGACUCCCCGCUGCUUCC